UGUGCCUACAACCCGUCAGAGCCCUCGAUUUUUUUGUGGGGUGUGGCGUGCCUUUUGAAGAAUGAGCCUGCGAGUCAGGGACAUGUCGCGAGGUUAACCCGUGUGGGGUAGCCGCAGCGAAAGCGAGUCUGAAUAGGGCGUAUCACGUCAACAGUGGCGUGUGUAGUGGUGUGUUCUGGACCCGAAGCGGAGUGAUCUACCCAUGGCCAGGGUGAAGCGCGGGUAAGACCGCGUGGAGG
rnacentral:rRNA from 1 species